GAUGAAGAACGUAGCGAAAUGCGAUAAGUAGUGUGAAUUGCAGAAUUGAGUGAAUCAUCGAAUCUUUGAACGCACAUUGCGCCCUUUGGUAUUCCAAAGGGCAUGCCUGUUCGAGCGUCAUUUGUACCCUCAAGCUUUGCUUGGUGUUGGGCGUCUUGUCUCUAGCUUUGCUGGAGACUCGCCUUAAAGUAAUUGGCAGCCGGCCUACUGGUUUCGGAGCGCAGCACAAGUCGCACUCUCUAUCAGCAAAGGUCUAGCAUCCAUUAAGCCUUUUUUUCAACUUUUGACCUCGGAUCAGGUAGGGAUACCCGCUGAACUUAAGCAUAUCAAUAAGCGGAGGA
rnacentral:misc_RNA from 1 species